rnacentral:rRNA from 1 species
UACGUAGGUGGCAAGCGUUAUCCGGAUUUACUGGGUGUAAAGGGCGUGUAGGCGGGAAAGCAAGUCAGAUGUGAAAACCACGGGCUCAACCUGUGGCCUGCAUUUGAAACUGUUUUUCUUGAGUACUGGAGAGGCAGACGGAAUUCCUAGUGUAGCGGUGAAAUGCGUAGAUAUUAGGAGGAACACCAGUGGCGAAGGCGGUCUGCUGGACAGCAACUGACGCUGAGGCG